rnacentral:RNase_P_RNA from 1 species
CAAGUAAACCGGGUGACCGCUCCGGCUUCGCCGGAGAGGAAAGUCCGAGCUCCGUGGGCAGGAUGCUGGGUAACACCCAGGAGGGGCGACCCUACGGAAAGUGCCACAGAAACAUACCGUCCUUCUUCGGAAGGAUAAGGGUGAAAUGGCGAGGUAAGAGCUCACCAGCGACCGGGUGACCGGUCGGCUGCGGUAAACCCCAUCUGGAGCAAGGCCAAAUAGAGGGACUAUGGGUAAGCCCGGCCCGUCCCCGGGUUGGCCGCAUGAGCUGGAUGGUAACAUCCAGCCUAGAUAGAUGGUCACCGUCCUUCUUAGGAAGGAUACAGAACUCGGCUUACAGGUUUACUUGACCC